UACGAAGGGGGCUAGCGUUGUUCGGAAUUACUGGGCGUAAAGCGCGCGCAGGCGGCUCUUCAAGUCAGGGGUGAAAGCCCAGAGCUCAACUCUGGAACUGCCUUUGAGACUGAAGAGCUUGAGUACGGGAGAGGUGAGUGGAAUUCCCAGUGUAGAGGUGAAAUUCGUAGAUAUUGGGAAGAACACCGGUGGCGAAGGCGGCUCACUGGCCCGUUACUGACGCUCAGGCGCGACAGCGUGGGGAGCAAACAGG
rnacentral:rRNA from 1 species